GACAGAGGGUGCAAACGUUGUUCGGAAUUACUGGGCGUAAAGCGAGUGUAGGCGGUUUGGUAAGUCGGAUGUGAAAGCCCCGGGCUCAACCCGGGAAGUGCACUCGAUACUGCCAAGCUAGAGUAUCGGAGAGGUUGGUGGAAUUCUCGGUGUAGAGGUGAAAUUCGUAGAUAUCGAGAGGAACACCGGUGGCGAAGGCGGCCAACUGGACGAAUACUGACGCUGAGACUCGAAAGCGUGGGGAGCGAACCGG
rnacentral:rRNA from 1 species